GACGAACGCUGGCGGCGUGCUUAACACAUGCAAGUCGAACGGAAAGGCCCUGCUUUUGUGGGGUGCUCGAGUGGCGAACGGGUGAGUAACACGUGAGUAACCUGCCCUUGACUUUGGGAUAACUUCAGGAAACUGGGGCUAAUACCGGAUAGGAGCUCCUGCUGCAUGGUGGGGGUUGGAAAGUUUCGGCGGUUGGGGAUGGACUCGCGGCUUAUCAGCUUGUUGGUGGGGUAGUGGCUUACCAAGGCUUUGACGGGUAGCCGGCCUGAGAGGGUGACCGGCCACAUUAGGACUGAGAUACGGCCCAGACUCCUACGGGAGGCUGCAGUGGGGAAUAUUGCACAAUGGGCGGAAGCCUGAUGCGGCAACGCCGCGUGCGGGAUGACGGCCUUCGGGUUGUAAACCGCUUUCGCCUAUGACGAAGCGUGAGUGACGGUAAUGGGUAAAGAAGCACCGGCUAACUACGUG
rnacentral:rRNA from 1 species